UUUAAGUGUAGUUGUGGGUUUAUAUGUCUAACGUUUGACUGUCCAUAUUAUUUGAAUAUAUUUUAUGAUUAAUAUUUACUUUAUGCUUGACUUAUUUUUUUAAAUUUUUCUAUAGAUUUUUAAAUAAGACAUAUGAUUAAACAUUGAAUAUGAAAACCCAUGAUUGCACUUAAA
rfam:Oryza nivara chromosome 11, whole genome shotgun sequence.